GAUGAACGCUGGCGGCGUGCUUAACACAUGCAAGUCGAACGAAGCGACUAUGAUUGAGAUUUCGGUUGAUUGAUUAGUUGACUUAGUGGCGGACGGGUGAGUAACGCGUGGGUAACCUGCCUCGUACAGGGGGAUAACAGUUAGAAAUGACUGCUAAUACCGCAUAACCCGCUAGGGUCGCAUGACCCAGACGGAAAAGAUUUAUCGGUACGAGAUGGACCCGCGUCUGAUUAGCUAGUUGGUGAGGUAACGGCCCACCAAGGCGACGAUCAGUAGCCGGCCUGAGAGGGUGAACGGCCACAUUGGGACUGAGACACGGCCCAAAACUCCUACGGGAGGCAGCAGUGGGGAAUAUUGGUCAAUGGGCGAAAGCCUGAACCAGCCAAGUCGCGUGAAGGAUGAAGGUUCUAUGGAUUGUAAACUCUUUUAGCAGGGACGAAGAACGUGACGGUACCUGCAGAAAAAGCAAACGGCUAACUACGUG
rnacentral:rRNA from 1 species